AAAAUUCGCUUCAAAAGUUUGAAAAGACUUAAAAGAAACAGCACUUGGUUGUCGAGAAGCAUUUCUUGAGGGGGAGAAGGCUUUGAAGUCGUCUUUUGAAAGAGUUCAAGAGUCUUUAAGCUUCGAGUUUACUGCACUUUGGUAAAAAUGGAGAAGUAGUCAUAAGCAGAAAGAUCAUCAAAAAACAUGUUACUUUACACAAGACGUGUAGCGUCAAGUCAUCGUGAUCGCAUACAGACUCGUCCCAAGACAAGGUAUAAAAGACAUUCAAGGCUCGAGCUCUUAGUAGUUGGUCAUACUUCAAGAGCUUCUAAGCGCCCUCUUUCUUCGUUCACCAUUCUAGGUAA